rnacentral:rRNA from 1 species
GACGGCGGGUGGUAGCGUUGUUCGGAAUCAUUGGGCUUAAAGCGCGCGUAGGCGGCAUUGUAAGUGUCUUGUGAAAUCCCACGGCUCCCCCGUGGAACUGUAGGGCAAACUGCAAGGCUUGAGGUCGGUAGAGGCGCCUGGAACUCUAGGUGGAGCGGUGAAAUGCGUAGAUAUCUAGGGGAACGCCGGAGGCGAAAGCGGGGCGCUGGGCCGAUUCUGACGCUGAUGCGCGAAAGCGUGGGGAGCAAACAGG